GAUGAACGCUAGCGGGAGGCCUAACACAUGCAAGUCGAACGGGAUUGAGAGCUUGCUCUCAUGAGAGUGGCGCACGGGUGAGUAACGCGUAUGCAACCUGCCUAUAACAGAGGGAUAGCCCAUAGAAAUGUGGAUUAAUACCUCAUAGUUCUGAGAGACCGCAUGGUUUUUCAGAUAAAGCUCCGGCGGUUAUAGAUGGGCAUGCGUGACAUUAGUUUGUUGUUGAGGUAACGGCUCACCAAGACUACGAUGUCUAGGGGUUCUGAGAGGAUGAUCCCCCACACUGGUGCUGAGACACGGACCAGACUCCUACGGGAGGCAGCAGUGAGGAAUAUUGGUCAAUGGGCGCAAGCCUGAACCAGCCAUCCCGCGUGCAGGAUGAAGGCCCUAUGGGUCGUAAACUGCUUUUAUACACCAAGAAAAACACCCACGUGUGGGUGCCCGACGGUAGUGUAUGAAUAAGCAUCGGCUAACUCCGUGCCAGCCGCCGCGGUAAGAC
rnacentral:rRNA from 1 species